GUGUGUGUCUAUGUGUUUGUGUAUGUGAUGUGUGUAUUUGUGUUUGCGUGUGUUUAUGUGGGUGAUAUGUGUGUGUAGGUGAAUGGAAGUGUAAAUAUAGGUUUGUGUAUGUGUGUGUAAUAUAUGUGUUUGUAUGGGCCGGUGUGUGCGUAAUAUUUGUGUGUGUUUGUUUGUAUGUAUGCAUACAUGCACACACACAAACACACACAC
rnacentral:lncRNA from 1 species